UACGUAGGGUGCGAGCGUUAAUCGGAAUUACUGGGCGUAAAGCGUGCGCAGGCGGUUCGUUGUGUCGGUGGUGAAAGCCCCGGGCUUAACCUGGGAAUGGCCAUGGAAACUGGCGAACUGGAGUGCGGUAGAGGAGAGUGGAAUUCCCGGUGUAGCAGUGAAAUGCGUAGAGAUCGGGAGGAACAUCAGUUGCGAAGGCGGCUCUCUGGACCAGCACUGACACUGAGGCACGAAAGCGUGGGGAGCAAACAGG
rnacentral:rRNA from 1 species